GAUGAACGCUAGCGGCAGGCCUAAUACAUGCAAGUCGAGGGGUAGAAGAGGCUUGCUUCUUUGAGACCGGCGCACGGGUGCGUAACGCGUAUGCAACCUACCUUCAUCUGGGGGAUAGCCCGGAGAAAUCCGGAUUAACACCGCAUAAAAUCACAGGAUGGCAUUAUCCAAUGAUCAAACAUUUAUGGGAUGGAGAUGGGCAUGCGUGUCAUUAGCUAGUUGGCGGGGUAACGGCCCACCAAGGCGACGGUGACUAGGGGAUCUGAGAGGAUGGCCCCCCACACUGGUACUGAGACACGGACCAGACUCCUACGGGAGGCAGCAGUAAGGAAUAUUGGUCAAUGGAGGCAACUCUGAACCAGCCAUGCCGCGUGCAGGAAGACUGCCCUAUGGGUUGUAAACUGCUUUUAUUCGGGAAUAAACCUUAUUACGUGUAAUAAGCUGAAUGUACCGAAGGAAUAAGGAUCGGCUAACUCCGUGCCAGCCGCCGCAGUAA
rnacentral:rRNA from 1 species